GUGGGGAAUCUUGCGCAAUGGGCGAAAGCCUGACGCAGCCAUGCCGCGUGAAUGAUGAAGGUCUUAGGAUUGUAAAAUUCUUUCACCGGGGACGAUAAUGACGGUACCCGGAGAAGAAGCCCCGGCUAACUUCGUGCCAGCAGCCGCGGUAAUACGAAGGGGGCUAGCGUUGCUCGGAAUUACUGGGCGUAAAGGGCGCGUAGGCGGACAGUUUAGUCAGAGGUGAAAGCCCAGGGCUCAACCUUGAAAUUGCCUUUGAGACUGGCUGUCUUGAGUACGGGAGAGGUGAGUGUAACUCCGAGUGUAGAGGUGAAAUUCGUAGAUAUUCGGAAGAACACCAGUGGCGAAGGCGACUCACUGGCCCGUUACUGACGCUGAGGCGCGAAAGCGUGGGGAGCAAACAGGAUUAUAAACCCGAGUAGUCC
rnacentral:rRNA from 1 species